AUGUACUUUCACCAUUGUAUACCAACUAUAUGCAUCACCAACUAUAUUUUCUUUUAUUAUCAUGAACAGCCCUCAACUGCCAGCAUGGCCAUCAAUGCACCGUCUCCAUCCACCUCCUCGUCACCUGCGGCCUCCCUCCAGCCAUCCACCUCCUCGUCACCCGCGGCCUCCCUCCAGCCAUCCAUCCAUCCCCUCACCCGAGGCCUUCGUCAAGGCAACCAUCCCCUCACCCGAGGCCUUCGUCGAGGCAACCUUGACAGCUUCUCCCCGGCCCAGUUUACCGUCUGCGUUCACCCCGUCCACCCCUCCAUGAUGCCACCAUCUCCAGAGGAAACGAAAGGGGGAGCAGGAUGACCUCCACAAUGAAAGGAUGUCGGAUUUGGAGGAGCGCAGACGGGCUGUGCAAGUGAUGUUACAUAUGAACCCGAGGCUUCGGAGCGUGUGUCGCGAAAGUGAAGCACUUCCAGAUGGAGCGCGUAUCGAGGCUUGUAUCGUUUUGCUGGAAUGACGUCACUGGUGACGUCCGAAGCCUCAUUUGAAUGAAGUGCUUCACGAAGUGGUUCGUUCGUUCACUUUUUGGCGGGACGCUUCGACUUUAUAAGAUGUCCCAAUUCCCAUCUCGUAUUCGAGGUUGUCAGUGGUUGGAGACAGAGAUAGUUAGAGACUUGGCGAAUAGUUAGAGACAUACUGUAGAGAUAGUUAGACACAUAGAGAUAGUUAGAGACAUAGCGAUAGUUAGCGGUAGUUGGAGAUUUAGAUUGUUUGUAGUAGUAUAGAUUAUUUGAGAGUUAUGGAGCCAGUUAGGAAGAGAAAGUCGUCACCCGUGUGGGAACACUUUGAUUUGAUUUCUCCUAAUAAGGUCUGUUUGUAGCUUGUAUGACUUCCCUGACAUUAGCCUAUUAUUGGGUUAUUUAAUGUUGUCACGGACCUUUAGUAUCUUUUUUAUUCGUAGGUGAAAUGUACAGUCUGUGACAAGACACUCAGUUAUAAUAACAACUAGGGCUGAACGAUUUGGGAAAAUAAUCUAAUUGCGAUUUUUUACCAAAAUAUUGCGAUUGCGAUUUAAUAUGCGAUUUUUUUUUUAUCCUCUUUUUUCCCCCAACAAAACGGAAUGAAUGAUUUAAAUAUGACCAACACAAUAUUAGAUACAUUUAGUGUAAAAUAUUCUUUGCCACAUUUUACAUUUUUAUUUAACUGCUCAUUACAGAAACAAGAACAAC
rnacentral:lncRNA from 1 species